rnacentral:rRNA from 1 species
GACGAACGCUGGCGGCGUGCUUAAUACAUGCAAGUCGAGCGAACAGACGCGGAGCUUUCUGCUCUGACGUUAGCGCCAGCGGGGUGGGAAACCCGUGGAUACCCUCCCUCUAAGACUGGGAUACCUUCUGGAAACCGGAGCAAUUCGCGGUUUAUCUAUUGAUCCGCAUGGUUCAAUAGUGAAAGACGGUAUUGUUGUCUGUUAUAGAUGGAUCCGCGCCGCGUUAGCUAGUUGGUAAGGUAAGGGCUUUCCCAGGCGACGAUGCGUAGCCGACCUGAGAGGGUGAUCGGCCACACUGGAACUGAGACACGGUCCGGACUCCUACGUGAGGGAGCAGUAGGGAAUCUGCCGCAAUGGGCGGAAGCCUGCCGGAGCAACGCCGCGUGAGUGAUGAAGGGCUUCGGAUCGGAAGACUCUGUUAUUAGGGAAGAACAAAUGUGUAAGUAGCUGUGCACGGCUUGACGGUACCUGGUCAGAAAGCCACGGCUAACUACGUG